GACUCUGGGAAGGCGGCAGUGGAGAAGCUGGGAGAAGUGGGAGCUAGGGCGGGCGAGGGUGAGGCCUCUUCCCUCAGGCGAAAUGGCUGAACGAAGAUGGGAAGAGCAGUAAAAUUAAUCCCGGCUGUUGUGCUGGUACUUCCUCGUCGCCGCCACCACCAUCAUCAUCUUCAUCCUUCGAGGGGUCUCCUCCUCCUGCUGUCUCCUCACCGCCGCCAUCAGCCUCGUCCUCCUCCUCCUCAUCGCCACAAGGAGGCGGGCGAAGGAGGGGCGAGGAGGAGGAAAAAAGAAAAAAGAUCACCGUCCUCUAGCAGCGGCUCCUUCCCCCUCCAACACCACCCUGCGAAAAAAAUACCCACCGCCAGCGACAGGGCUGGGGGGGAGGCGGCGGGGGAAGCGGCACAGCGCGAGGAGUCCCCAGAUCCACUCGCUUCUUCCUCGCCCGUCGCUAAUGGCUGCAGAAAGGGAGCUGUAAGGAUGAGGAAGUAGCAGGCUGCUCCCCCUCCGGCGCAGGCAGAGGGGCCGAUCCCACAGCAGCGGCAGGAGGAGGAGGAGGAGGAAGAAGCCGGCCCCUCCCGCCUUCUCUGCCUACCUUCCCCCUUCCCGGGCGGCCGAGGACGGUGGCAGGGAGGGGACUGCCUGUCUCAGAUCCCCCGGACCCACGGGCGAUGCGGGGCGCUAUGAGCGAAAGAGGAGACCCUCGGCCGCUGUUCGGGCGCGGUGGGGACUCUCCCUUCGCCUCUGCGAGGGUGGAAAAGGGAGCGAAGAGGUUGAUAGUCCGGGUGGGAGGGGAGGCCGCGCAGCGACUCCUCCGAGAAGAGGAGCAAGAGGUAAAAUUAAAAUAAUAAAACAGGAGAAAACCCACGGCGGUGGAGGCCGGAGAAUCUGCCCCGGAAUGGCCGGGCG